rnacentral:rRNA from 1 species
UUUGAUCUAGCUCAGAUUGAACGCUGGCGGGAUGCUUUACACGCGCUAUGCAAGUCGAACGGCAGCACGGACUUCCGGUCUGGUGGCGAGUGGCGAACGGGUGAGUAAUGUAUCGGAACGUGCCUAGUAGCGGGGGAUAACUACGCGAAAGCUAAUACCACAUACGCCGCUUCGGGGAAGCUUAACGGGGGGACCUUCGGGCCUCGCACUGGUAGCCGAUAUCGGAUUAGCUAGUUGGUGGGUAACGGCUCGCAAGGCGACGAUCCGUAGCUGGUUCGAGAGGACGACCAGCCACACUGGGACUGAGACGGCGAACUCCUACGGAGAGCAGCGGUAGAGGAAUUUUGGACAAUGGGGGAAACCUAGUCAGCCAUCCCGCGUAUUGCAAUGAAGGCCUUCGGGUUGUAAAGCACUUUUGGCAGGAAGAAACGGCACGGGAUAAUACCCCAUGCAACUGACGGUACCGAUAAGCACCGGCUAACUACGUGCCAGCAGCCGCGGUAAUACGUAGGGUGCAGCGGUAAUCGGAAUUACUGGGCGUAAAGCGUGCGCAGGCAGUUCGGAAAGAAGAUGUGAAAUCCACGCGAAGAGCUUAACUUUUUGGAACUGCAUUUUUAACUACCGAGCUAGAGUGUGUCAGAGGGAGGGUGGAAUUCCGCGUGUAGCAGUGAAAUGCGUAGAUAUGCGGAGGAGCACCGAUGGCGAGCAGCCUCCUGGGAUAACACUGACGCUCACAUGCACGGCAAGUGGGGAGGCAAACAGGAUUAGAUACCCUGGUAGUCCACGCCCUAAACGAUGUCAACCCAACUGUUGGGGCCUUCGGGCCUUGGUAGCGCAGCUAACGCGUGAAGUUGACCGCCUGGGAAAUUACGGUCGCAAGAUUAAAACUCAAAAUUGACGGGGACCCGCACAAGCGGUGGAUGAUGUGGAUUAAUUCGAUGCAGCAUGAAGCCUUACCUACCCUUGACGUAUGUCUGGAAUCCCGAAGAGAUUUGGGAGUGCUCGCAAGAGAACCACAGGUGCUGCAUGGCUGUCGUCAGCUCGUGUCGUGAGAUGUUAGGUUAAGUCCCGCAACGAGCGCAACCCUUGUCGUGGAUUGCUACGAAAGGGCACUCUAAUGAGACUGCCGGUGACAAACCGGAGGAAGGUGGGGAUGACGUCAAGUCCUCAUGGCCCAUAUGGGUAGGGCUUCACACGUCAUACAAUGGUCGGGACAGAGGGUCAUAACCCGCGAAAAGAGGAGCCAAUCAGAAACCCGAUCGUAGUCCGGAUCGCAGUCUGCAACUCGACUGCGUGAAGUCAGGAAUCGCUAGUAAUCGCGGAUCAGCAUGUCGCGGUGAAUACGUUCCCGGGUCACAGCACACACCGCCCGUCACACCAUGGGAGUAGGGUUUUACAGAAGUAGUUAGCUAACCGCCGGAGGCGAUUACCACGGUAAGUUCACUGACUGGGGGUGAAGUCGUAACAAGGUAG